rnacentral:tRNA from 1 species
AAGUAGUGAAGUAAAGUUUACAUUUAGUUUCGACCUAAAUAUUGGAGAUUUAAAUCCCCUACUUA